GGGACUGAGACACGGCCCAGACUCCUACGGGAGGCAGCAGUGGGGAAUUUUGGACAAUGGGCGAAAGCCUGAUCCAGCCAUGCCGCGUGUCUGAAGAAGGCCUUCGGGUUGUAAAGGACUUUUGUUAGGGAAGAAAAGGUUGAUGCUAAUAUCAUUAACUGAUGACGGUACCUAAAGAAUAAGCACCGGCUAACUACGUGCCAGCAGCCGCGGUAAUACGUCUGUCUC
rnacentral:rRNA from 1 species